CCGGACCGCAGCGCCGGGAAGUCGAGGAAGAGGAAGCUGCUGCAGCCUCAGACUCCGAACAAGAGACACCCGUGGGUCACAUUACAACCAGAACAGAACAACAAGACGGGUAAACGUCUCUCACACAACUUCCUCCAGCUGGCUCUGGUUCUGGUUCUGGAGUGGGUUCGAUGAAGUCCAGCCAGUGUUUACAGUUACCUAGCAACAGUAUCAGUAAAGUCUACUAUAUUUAUAAUAUUUCUUCAGACUUGCAACAGACGAACUGAAGCUGUUGUCUUCCACCAGACUCCAUUGAUAAAAACAUCAUUUUACCUCACAGAACACACGAGUGUCCAUUGCUGUUAGUUUGGCUGAUGAGAUCUUAUUGAUUUGACAUUGAUUUCCUGUGGACCAGUUUCUUGAUAUGGUAACUGAAGUAAGUGAAAUGAACCCAGUAUGUUUAGUAUGAAGUGUAUUUUUAUGAUUAUUGUCAUGUCAUCACAUAUCGCAGUUGUUCUGGCUCCUAUAACCGCGUCCUGCUUAAAAUGAUGUUUUGUGAAUGGAGUCUGGUGGCGAGACCGUUUCAGUUCGCUGUAAUAAAGUUUAGUCUGACAGUGAGUGGUGGUAAACUGUUUGUGUAAUAAUAAUAAUACUAAUAAUUCAUAAUAAUAAUAAUAAUAAUAAUC